UGCCACUGCAGCCAGGACAACUGGGGUACUUGUAAGAAUAUCCAGCCAAGGGCGUUGUAAUGUAAAUCUACAUUGCGAGAGAAGAGGUAUUAGAAUCACUGGAAGAUAUUCUGGCGAAAAGAAAUCAGUUGAGUCAAAGAUUUGUUUUUUACUUGCAGGUUUUGAAAGAACAAGUUCAACGGUUCCACAAGGAAAACAUGUGGCUGAAAGUAUGUCAACAGUCUUCCGUGACUGGAAGAAUCUAAGGAACCGAUCAAGCAUGAAAAGAAAGAUCCCAGCACCAGCUAUCAUGAAGAUGAAGUCACCAACAUGCAAGGCCAGGAACACCACGAACACCACAUAUAAUUGGUGCGUAUAGAAGAACAGUUCAAAGUUUUGUCUCCUUACUCCAGGAAGUGAAGUCACCCACAUUAAUAAACCUGCUGCAAGGCUGAUAACUCCUGGAAGAUUGGCUACUCCUACGCUUUUCCACUGGAUUAGCUGCAUUAAACACAAUGGCAAAGCCCAAGUCUUCAAUUUCUUUACCAAGAGUACUCACAAGGAUGCAUUACAUGUGAUGAAGCCCUUCAAUAUAUAAAUUACAACUUAAUACAAGGGAUCUCUAUGGGGUAGGGAAAUAAAUAUUCAGUUUUAUAACUCACUUCCUCUACAAGGCGGCCCCGCAUUGCCCAGCCAAUCACAUAGAACAGACCAUGAAGGCUAAAAAGAGCCAUAGUAAGAUGUCCCAGCCAAACAUGAUAUCGAGUGGCAUGCUCAAAAGGAAUAUCUAUGGCUCGAAGAAGAACAGAAC
rnacentral:lncRNA from 1 species